rnacentral:tRNA from 1 species
GGUGGCUCAGAGGUAGAGUACUUGCCUUGCAUGCAUGAAGCCCUGGGUUUGAUUCCUCAGCACCA